UUAACCGACUGAACCAUCCAGGCUUCCCUUUAUUACUGAUUUCUAAGUCUAAGAUCAUAAUGUUCAGAGAUAAUAUUUCAUCUGAACUUAAUCCAAAUUAGUGAGACCUUUUUACAGCCCAGAAAAUAAUCUCUUUUGGUAAAUAGUCCAUGUACACUUACAAAGGGUGUUAAUUCUGCCAUUAUUGGGUGGAGUAUUUUAUGAAAGGCCAAGUAGGUCAAGCUGGCUGUGAGUCGUUCAAGCCUUCUCUGUCCAGCUCAACUUUCUGCCUGGUUGUUCUAUCAAUCGCUGAGAGGGGAGUUGCCGAAAUCCCACCUACUUACAGAUUUGUCCCGUUCAUCUUUCGGUUCUACCAGUUUUGGCCUCACGUAUCAGAAGCUUUGCUGUGGUGCGUUUCCACUCAAGAUACUCUGAAUUGAUUCAGGCAAGAUCCCUGACCUCAGAGGGUACAGAAGAGAAGCUGGCUUGGAAGAAGUGGGACUUGAGUGGGAGCCUUGAAAGACAAUAGCUGAAGGACAUAUUCUGUAGGAUGAAGAAUGAACUUGACACAUGCACAAGCAAAUGGAUUCUGUGCUUAUCUGGAAAACUCAAAACCUUCGUGUCUUCUAUAUGAUCCUUGUCGAUCAAAAAAUAAAGGUGCUUCUUUGUUUUGUUGCCCCUCCUACUAAAACCGCAGAUACUUAAUAAAUCUGGGGUGGGGAGGAGAGACUAAAUGACAGAAAUAACUAUUCCUUCACAAUCUUUGGUAUGUUUCUAAUUUGUUUCCACAUACGAGAAAUAAACAUUAAAUUUUAUAUCCA